CAUCUUAAAGAAAGAAAAAAAAACACGCUCAGCCCUCGCUCACAUGAAAAUCAGAAGCGCCCUAAUCAAUUGCUCUCUAUCUUUCUUCUCAAUUCUACAUAUCAUUAUCCCUAAACUCAUUCAAUUUUCUCCUUCCUAAACGAUACUGUAACAGUCCUAAACGAAAUUAACCCUUUUCCCUUCUUAAAAGAAAUUCAUAUCGCUCUUUCUCUCUUUUCAUUGAUACGGACAUAGUGGAGGGAAGGGGAAGCACGAUUAUGCUAUAGAGUCGGCUGUAAGGGAGGCAGUUGUAAACGGAGUGACGAUCUUGAUGGCCACAACAGUCAAUCGAUGACUGUGCAUAUAGAUUCUUUCCAUCUCAAAAUUCUUCUCAGUAUCCAACCCUAACUUCAUACAUUGCCGGAAAAUCAGGAGCUAUGAGCAUAUCGACGACCCAUUUAGGAAGAUCCAAAUGUGUCGACGCUGACACACACGUGCUUCUCGACGGUGACGCAACCCCACCCUCGAACGAAUACAGGUUUCUCGGCGACGGGGAUGCAACCCUAGAUCGGAACAGCACGUGCUUAAUAAUAGAUGUGAACUUACAAAUUGCUUAUCUCACUUGGGAAAAAGGAAUCACCAUAUGGAAAGCUAUAUAGAGAAAGGAAGGAACGAAUGAGGAGGAAAUAGAUACAGAGAGGAUGGACAAGAGAGAUAGAAAUAUGACUGAGAUCUCACUUCCAAGAUCGAUGCGGUUCUUAUUGUUGUUGUCCUUAAUUUUUGAACAAAUAUUUACAGGAUGGAGCACAAUCACAUGGAGUUGCUACAAAAUCUCACAAUGUUUGAUUUUUGGAAUGUUGUUGAUCUUGAAGUUAGGAACAUUAUGUUCUGAGUACUAGCACUAUUUAAACUUAUUAUUUGUUCAAGACAUUUGUGUUUUAGUUAUUGAGAAUAUUAUUUGUGUUUUAGUUAUUGAGAAUAUUAUUAUAGGAAAAGUUUGAAUUGAAGUAAAGAUGUUGUGUUUUACAUUUAUUA